rnacentral:rRNA from 1 species
UACGUAGGGUGCAAGCGUUGUCCGGAAUUAUUGGGCGUAAAGAGCUCGUAGGCGGUUUGUCGCGUCGAAUGUGAAAACCCGGGGCUCAACUCCGGGCCUGCAUUCGAUACGGGCAGACUAGAGUUCGGUAGGGGAGACUGGAAUUCCUGGUGUAGCGGUGAAAUGCGCAGAUAUCAGGAGGAACACCGAUUGCGAAGGCAGCUCGCUGGGACGUUACUGACGCUGAGACGCGAAAGCGUGGGGAGCAAACAGG